rfam:Sporothrix schenckii ATCC 58251 unplaced genomic scaffold supercont1.1, whole genome shotgun sequence.
ACGUACGACCAUAGAUGAUGGACAAUACGGGAUCCCGUCCGCUCUCCCCUAGUCAAACCAUCAAUCGGCGGAUUAGUAGUUGGGUCGGUGACGACCAGCGAAUACCCGCUGUUGUACGUU